UAAGCACUCCGUUCAUCCGAAAAAACUUGUCUCAAGUUUGUUUCUCAAAUGGAUGUAUCUAGCACUAACUUGGUGCUAGAUAUAUUCAUUUGAGGGGCAAGCUUUUCCGGACGAAGGGAGUAUGUU
rnacentral:pre_miRNA from 1 species